AAAUGUUCAAGCUUCUUCAGCUUCCAUAGCGCUGUGCUAGCAGGAAGGUCUGUGAAGUUUGCAAUAAAGCCAUUAUGAAGUCAAGAAUGGAGGUUCCAUUUUUAAAGAACUCAGAGGGGGUAGAUCUUGAUUGACAUCUCAUCUGGGGUCACCUGGUCUUCAACUGAGAGAUCUUUUGGUUCGCCACGGAUGCCCCUUGCAGUUAUGGAAGCUUCCCUGACCAGAGGUCGUUUUGAGUUUCCUUCUCUGGAAUUUGACCACUGAGCAGAGACACAUAGGAGAGAAGACGUGAAUGCUGAGUCAUCAAUCAGCAUCACUGGGAAGAAAAAGCCUCUCAGUUUCUUCUGCUGGGACUCCCAGAGCUGGAGUAUUUUCUGCUCUUCCUAAGGCCUGAAUCUCACCUUGUCACCCAGGCUGGAGUGCAAUGGCAUAAUCUCAGCUCACUGCAACCUCUGUCUCCCAGGCUCAAAUGAUUCUCCUGCCUCAGCCUCCUGAGUAGCUGGGAUUACAGGCGCCCAUGGACUACCAGCUUUUUAAGUAGACUUUUUAGCCAAAGGCCAAGGGAAACUACCCUCUUCCUACUGGGGUUCAAAUUGAUUAAAAUGGUUUGCUUUGA
rnacentral:lncRNA from 1 species